rnacentral:tRNA from 1 species
GUUUUAAUAGUUUAAAUAAAACAUUGGUCUUGUAAAUCAAAAAUAAGGGCUACUUUUAAAACU